GCACUGUUGAGGAAUCCCACAAUAGGAUGAAACGGCCGUCCAGUGC
rnacentral:hammerhead_ribozyme from 1 species